UGGCGGCAGGCCUAACACAUGCAAGUCGAGCGGUAGAGAGAAGCUUGCUUCUCUUGAGAGCGGCGGACGGGUGAGUAAUGCCUAGGAAUCUGCCUGGUAGUGGGGGAUAACGUUCGGAAACGGACGCUAAUACCGCAUACGUCCUACGGGAGAAGCAGGGGACCUUCGGGCCUUGCGCUAUCAGAUGAGCCUAGGUCGGAUUAGCUAGUUGGUGGGGUAAUGGCUCACCAAGGCGACGAUCCGUAACUGGUCUGAGAGGAUGAUCAGUCACACUGGAACUGAGACACGGUCCAGACUCCUACGGGAGGCAGCAGUGGGGAAUAUUGGACAAUGGGCGAAAGCCUGAUCCAGCCAUGCCGCGUGUGUGAAGAAGGUCUUCGGAUUGUAAAGCACUUUAAGUUGGGAGGAAGGGUUGUAGAUUAAUACUCUGCAAUUUUUACGUUACCGGCAGAAUAAGCACCGGAUAACUCUGUGCCAGCAGCCGCGGUAAUACAGAGGGUGCAAGCGUUAAUCGGAAUUACUGGGCGUAAAGCGCGCGUAGGUGGUUUGUUAAGUUGGAUGUGAAAUCCCCGGGCUCAACCUGGGAACUGCAUUCAAAACUGACUGACUAGAGUAUGGUAGAGGGUGGUGGAAUUUCCUGUGUAGCGGUGAAAUGCGUAGAUAUAGGAAGGAACACCAGUGGCGAAGGCGACCACCUGGACUGAUACUGACACUGAGGUGCGAAAGCGUGGGGAGCAAACAGGAUUAGAUACCCUGGUAGUCCACGCCGUAAACGAUGUCAACUAGCCGUUGGGAGCCUUGAGCUCUUAGUGGCGCAGCUAACGCAUUAAGUUGACCG
rnacentral:rRNA from 1 species